UACGAAGGGGGCUAGCGUUGCUCGGAAUCACUGGGCGUAAAGCGCACGUAGGCGGCUUUCUAAGUCAGGGGUGAAAUCCUGGAGCUCAACUCCAGAACUGCCUUUGAUACUGGAAAGCUCGAGUCCGGGAGAGGUGAGUGGAACUCCGAGUGUAGAGGUGAAAUUCGUAGAUAUCUGGAGGAACACCGGUGGCGAAGGCGGCAUCCUGGACCGGCAUUGACGCUGAGGAGCGAAAGCCAGGGGAGCAAACGGG
rnacentral:rRNA from 1 species